rnacentral:rRNA from 3 species
GCAUUACUAGUUNGUGGGGUACGGCCCUACAAGGCGACNAUGCGUAUCCGACCUGAGAGGGUGAACGGCCACACUGGGACUGAGACACGGCCCAGACUCCUACGGGAGGCAGCAGUAGGGAACUCUUCCGCAAUGGGCGAAAGCCUGACGGAGCAACGCCGCGUGAGUAGAUGAAGGUUUUCGGAUCGUAAAGCUCUGUUGCCAGGAAGAACGUCCGGUAGAGUAACUGCUGACGGANUGACGGUACCUGAGAAGAAAGCCCCGGCUAACUACGUGCCAGCAGCCGCGGUAAUACGUAGGGGGCAAGCGUUGUCCGGAAUUAUGGGCGUAAAGCGGCGCGCAGUGCGUGCUGCUUAAGUCUGGUGUUAAAACCUUGGGCUCAACCUGGGGUCGCACUGGAAACUUGGGCAGAUUGAUGUACAGACAGGAAGGAACACGUGGAAUUCCACGGUUUAUCGGUAACAUGCGGUAGAGAUUGUGGACGGAACACCCCGUGGCGAAUGGCACUUCCUCUGGGCUGGUAACUGAACGCUUAAGCGGCGAAAAGCGGUNGGGAGNACAGACCGGAUUNGAUACCCCUGGUAGUCCACGCCGUAAACGAAAGUGNUAANGUGUUAGGGGGUUUGAUACCCCCUUUGUGNCUNACAGGUUUAACACNCAGGUAAAGACUUCCGGCCUGGGGGAAGUACGGUCGGCAAGANNUUGAAAUCUCAAAGUGAAUUGACGGGGGGACCCGGCACAAAGCCGGUGGAGUAUGAUGGUUAAAUUCGAAGGCAACGCGAAGAACCUUAUCCAGGGUCUUNCAUUCNACGUAACGA